GUGCUUGCUUCGGCAGCACAUAUACUAAAACUGGAACGAAACAGAGAAGAUCAGCACGGCUUCUGGGCAAGGCUGACGCACAAAUGUGUGAAGCGUUCCAUAUGUUU